GCCGUGAACUGGGCAGCUGUGACACGUGCACCUUGUCACCUUGUCACCAAUUUCCUGCCCGGGAUCCCAGAGCUACCCUUCUUGGAGCCCACAGGGGCAGCCCUUGGCUGGUCCCUGUGAGCCCGUGGACACUGCCAGAGAUGUCCUCUUUCAGUUACAGGACCCUGACUGUGGCCCUCUUCGCCCUGAUCUGCUGUCCAGGAUCGGAUGAGAAGGUAUUCGAGGUACACGUGAGGCCAAAGAAGCUGGCGGUUGAGCCCAAAGGGUCCCUCAAGGUCAACUGCAGCACCACCUGUAACCAGCCUGAAGUGGGUGGUCUGGAGACCUCUCUAGAUAAGAUUCUGCUGGACGAACAGGCUCAGUGGAAACAUUACUUGGUCUCAAACAUCUCCCAUGACACGGUCCUCCAAUGCCACUUCACCUGCUCCGGGAAGCAGGAGUCAAUGAAUUCCAACGUCAGCGUGUACCUUGGCUGUACAAUUUCUGAACCUUGUCCUUGUAGACACCUGGUCACCAGAAACCAUCAUGUCUGUAAAACUACCACACAGUCCAGCCUCCAUCCUCAACUGCCGCCCUCUUCCUCUCCGCACUGGAGCCGGCCAGGCCACUUCCUCCCCAACCAUGGAACACCAUGAGCCUCCAAGGCAGGUCAUCCUGACACUGCAACCCACUUUGGUGGCUGUGGGCAAGUCCUUCACCAUUGAGUGCAGGGUGCCCACCGUGGAGCCC
rnacentral:sRNA from 1 species